UACGGGGGGGGCAAGCGUUGUUCGGAAUUACUGGGCGUAAAGGGCUCGUAGGCGGCCAACUAAGUCAGACGUGAAAUCCCUCGGCUUAGCCGGGGAACUGCGUCUGAUACUGGAUGGCUUGAGAUUGGGAGAGGGAUGCGGAAUUCCUGGUGUAGCGGUGAAAUGCGCAGAUAUCAGGAAGAACACCAAUGGCGAAGGCAGCUCUCUGGGACGGUACUGACGCUGAGACGCGAAAGCGUGGGGAGCGAACAGG
rnacentral:rRNA from 1 species